UACGUAGGGUGCAAGCGUUGUCCGGAAUCACUGGGCGUAAAGGGCGCGUAGGUGGCGCCCCAAGUCCGUGGUGAAAGCUCGAUGCUCAACAUCGAGUCGGCCACGGAAACUGGGGGGCUCGAGCACUGUAGAGGCAGAUGGAAUUCCGGGUGUAGCGGUGGAAUGCGUAGAGAUCCGGAAGAACACCGGUGGCGAAGGCGGUCUGCUGGGCAGUAGCUGACACUGAGGCGCGACAGCGUGGGGAGCAAACAGG
rnacentral:rRNA from 1 species